rnacentral:rRNA from 1 species
AGCAGCCGCGGUAAUUCCAGCUCCAAUAGCGUAUAUUAAAGUUGUUGCAGUUAAAAAGCUCGUAGUUGAAUUUCGAGAUCAAUUUGUUGGUCGUGCCUCGGUACGUACUGGCAAUUUUGAUUUCUCCCUUCUGAAGAACCAUGAUGUCAUUAAUUUGGUGUCAUGGGGAAUCAGGACCGUUACUUUGAAAAAAUUAGAGUGUUUAAAGCAGGCUCGCGCUUGAAUACAUUAGCAUGGAAUAAUGAAAUAGGACGUUUGAUUCUAUUUUGUUGGUUUCUAGGAUCGACGUAAUGAUUAAUAGGGAUAGUUGGGGGCAUUAGUAUUCAAUUGUCAGAGGUGAAAUUCUUGGAUUUAUUGAAGACUAACUACUGCGAAAGCAUUUGCCAAGGAUGUUUUCAUUAAUCAAGAACGAAAGUUAGGGGAUCGAAGACGAUCAGAUACCGUCGUAGUCUUAACCAUAAACUAUGCCGACUAGGGAUCGGAUGAUGUUAAUUUUUAAUGACUCAUUCGCGUACCG